GGUAUAGUAGUUGUGACUUAUUCACACUAUAUACAUUUGGCUUCCGCAACACUCUCUAUACAAUGUCUGAUUAUAUUUAUUCACUCAUAGAAGUAAAUAUAAAUCUGUCCCUUUUCUGCAGGUGAAUUCGCUCGAGUUGGUGCAAGGAUUUUGACAACAGUAUGAUCAGUUACUUUGCUCUAUCUUGAGAAUGAUUUGGCAACGAUACAAUGUCAUUUCACUAUGGAAGGUUCUUUUAGUCUAUUACUUUCCUCUCUUUCUGAGAUGUUGUCGACAAUUCUCCGAGUAUCCAAUCCCUUCCGGUCCACUUCUCAAAGGGGGAAUACUGGCUAGAAAUUGCUCAAAUUUCCAGCAUACGGAUUGAAUGUAACUUGUUCUCUCCAUCAGUAGCCGUUUUUCAAGUUUUUACUACUUAGCUUUGCUUGUGUGUUAAUUCCUUUUAUUCGAUGUAUCUUGUUGAGCAGUAUGUAGCGUCUAUUUGCACUGUGAAGACGAGGAAGCUCUUUGCCCGAAGUGAAACUUAAGUGAGUUGAGUAAUGCAUCUUCAUAAAAGGAUGAAAGCUGACAAAAAAAGGUAUGUCAUCUACAGAAAUAGGCUGGAAUUAAUAAUUUUAUCUAGGAAGUUCAAAGCAAAAUGUAAUUUUAACAAACUAGAAACCUUUUUACCAUUAGCAUACGUAGAUAUGUU